rnacentral:lncRNA from 1 species
GGCACGGAGAUCACUAUCUUUCAUAAAGCAAUGAAGAAUGGACAGGGAGAACUGCUGGCUGAAAAUAUGAGAAGCCAGCACAUCCUGAAAGAAAUACCCUAGAUCCGCUUAAUGGGAAACGAAGCAGCUGGAACCCUAAACAGUGAUGCCACUCUGUGCUGAUACACCUGACCCUCCACCAAUGAACUGGCCCAACUGGGGAAAUGGAAAAUGGGAG